rfam:Lactobacillus salivarius TCC118, complete genome.
CAAGCGUUUCAGUGAUGUGAGCAGAGCAGAAGUCAGCAGAGGUCAUAGUAGCCUAAAUUAGGCGAAGGAC